rnacentral:rRNA from 1 species
CACGUAGGGGACGAGCGUUGUCCGGAUUCAUUGGGCGGAAAGCGCGCGUAGGCGGCUCGGAAAGUCGGUCGUGAAAUGCCGGGGCUCAACCCCGGGACUGCGUCCGAUACUCCCGAGCUGGAGGCAGGUAGGGGAGAUCGGAAUUCCUGGUGUAGCGGUGAAAUGCGCAGAUAUCAGGAGGAACACCGGUGGCGAAGGCGGAUCUCUGGGCCUUGCCUGACGCUGAGGCGCGAAAGCUAGGGGAGCGAACAGG